UAGAACAAAAUGACAAUGGCAUACUCUGUGAAGCUUCUGAUAAAACUCACAGAAUAAAGGCUUUUAUUACCAAUGAAGCAAUCCAAAACUUUGAGAAAAAACGAGAUCUUCACAUCCGUCAUAUUAAAGGUGGAUUAAUAUUAUGCCAAAAAUUUUGCUUUGAAUCUCUUUAUCCUUACAGUUUCAAUACUCUCCUAAAAAUCAGUUGUUUUGACUCACCUGGUGGUUUAAGUGUACCACAAAAUGUUGAUCAUCUCCCUCUAUUAGAAACUU
rnacentral:lncRNA from 1 species